AAGUACGUUCAGUCUCGUUCACGAACGAGAGUUUAUUCCUUAAUAAAAGCAGUUUACAACCCAUAGGGCCGUCAUCCUGCACGCGGCAUGGCUGGUUCAGACUUUCGUCCAUUGACCAAUAUUCCUC
rnacentral:rRNA from 1 species